ensembl:lncRNA
AAUGUGUAAAGCCUUCCCUCCCACUCCUUUUUUCCUGCCUCACAUUUUUGUGGGGGCUCAAUUUCUCUCGUUUUUUCUCACUUGUCCCCCCCACUUUCUUUCUUUCCUGUCUCCCUCCCUCCCUCCUCUCGGGAGUAGCACAGUAACUGCCUGUUGACUGGGAAACACUUCUCCUCCCUUCCUUUUCUCUCCUCUCUUCCUUCUCUCCUCCCUUCCUUCUCUCCUCCCUUCCUUCUCUCCUCCCUUCCUUUUCUCUCCUCCCUUCCUUUUCUCUCCUCCCUUCCUUCUCUCCUCCCUUCCUUUUCUCUCCUCCCUUCCUUCUCUCCUCCCUUCCUUUUCUCUCCUCCCUUCCUUUUCUCUCCUCCCUUCCUUUUCUCUCCUCCCUUCCUUCUCUCCUCCCUUCCUUUUCUCUCCUCCCUUCCUUUUCUCUCCUCCCUUCCUUUUCUCUCCUCCCUUCCUUUUCCCUCCUCCCUUCCUUUUCUCUCUUUCUCUCCAUCCAUGAUGUUGACCAUUCAUUCUGGUGCUAGAUAGAAGUCACUCUCAGCUGCAGGACCAUGGUCUUACUGUCGGCUCUGCGUUUGGCACCGCCACCCAGAUGCCCUUCAAGCCAGCUGGGCCUUCAUGGGGCCCCUGAGUGCAUGUGUGUAGGUGGGAGGGGUGGUUUGGUUGGAGGAGUGGUUUGGUUGGAGGAGUGGUUUGGUGGGGGUGGUGGUUUGGUGGUGGCGGGGGCGGUGGGGGUGGAGUUUUCAGGUGCUUUCAGCUUGUUGUUCUGCUGAGACAUUCGUGUACAGGGUACAAGUGAACUUGUGUCGUGUGAGUGACCAACAUGCCGGCUUACCCCAAUGGAACUUGAGCUCAGGAGUUUGAGAAUGCUGAUGGGGAGGAGUACCAGGCGGACCUGUCCACCCUGGCGUCCCCUGCAUCCCAGAGCGGACCUGAUGUCUACAUCCUACCCCUCACGGAGGUGUCCCUCCCCCUGGCCAAACAACCAGGACGAUCAGGUAGGACCUACCUGUCUGAGUCUGAGAAAAUUACACUUUUCUCACUUUUCCUUCCUUCCUUCUCCUCUCUGCCUCUCUCUCUCUCUCUCUCUCUCUCUCUCUCUCUCUCUCUCUCUCUCUCUCUCUCUCUCUCUCUCUCUCAGUCCCUUCUACCCCCCCCCCCUCUCCCUCUGUCUCUCUCAAUUCAAUUCAAGAGGCUUUAUUGGCAUGGGAAACAUGUGUUAACAUUGCCAAGGCAAGUGAAGUAGAUAAUAUACAAAAGUAAAAUAAACAAUAAAAAUUAACAGUAAACAUUACACAUACAGAAGUUGCAAAACAAUAAAGACAUUACAAAUGUCAUAUUGUGUAUGUAUACAGUGUUGCAACGAUGUACAAAUGGUUAAAGUACACAAGGGAAAAUAAAUAAGCAUAAAUAUGGGUUGUAUUUACAAUGGUGUUUGUUCUUCACUGGUUGCCCUUUUCUCGUGGCUACAGGUCACAAAUCUUGCUGCUGUGAUGGCACACUGCGGAAUUUCACCCAGUAGAUAUGGGAGUUUAUAAAAAUUGGGUUUGUUUUCGAAUUCUUUGUGGAUCUGUGUAAUCUGAGGGAAAUAUGUGUCUCUAAUAUGGUCAUACAUUGGACAGGAGGUUAGGAAGUGCAGCUCAGUUUCCACCUCAUUUUGUGGGCA